UACGUAGGGGGCAAGCGUUGUCCGGAUUUAUUGGGCGUAAAGAGCGUGUAGGCGGCCAGGUAGGUCCGUUGUGAAAACUCGAGGCUCAACCUCGAGACGCCGAUGGAAACCAUUUGGCUAGAGUCCGGAAGAGGAGAGUGGAAUUCCCGGUGUAGCGGUGAAAUGCGCAGAUAUCGGGAAGAACACCCGUGGCUAAGGCGGCUCUCUAGUACGGUACUGACGCUGAGACGCGAAAGCGUGGGGAGCGAACAGG
rnacentral:rRNA from 1 species